AUGCCAAACAGAGGCCAGUGGUUGAGGAGAGGAAGUAGGAGACACUGAGAGGUGCUGGAAGAGCGAACCAGGGAAGCAGAGGGCAGAGAACCAGCAUAACCUCAUGAUCUUACCCAGCAAUGGAAUCCACCAUGGGAGCCCCGUUCCUUCUGAGGACCGUCUUCACUCUCUCAGUUAGCUUAUACUACCUGAGUGCUUCCUGUGAGGAGCAGCCUUGGCACCUCCUCCUCCUCCUCCUCCUUCCUUUCUACCUCCCAGGCGGGGCAACCUGGGCCUCACACCUCUCCCUCUGCUGUGUCUAAGGAUGGAUUCCACCAAGAUAGAAACGACCGUGCUGGCACAUAGCAAGUCCUCUGCAGCCAUCAGGAAAGCAGAGGAAUGAGCGGUCAGUCCUCUCUCGUGAACUGAGGGCCAGACAUUGAGCAAUGGGACGUGGAGAGGGUCAGGGCUCCCUGAUCUCUGGCGGAGUCCAGGCAAGGGCUUCUGUGCCCAUCCUCAGAACCGCCUGGCAAGCGGGAAGGCGCCCAGGGGUCCUCAGACAUCAUAGCUCAUUGCUCUGUUCCCAUAAAAUCACUUAAGUGGCAA